UAGGGCUCUCGGCAAUGGAUAUCUUGGCUCUCGCAUCGAUGAAGAGCGCAGCGAAAUGCGAUACGUGGUGCGAAUUGCAGAAUCCCGUGAACCAUCGAGUUUUUGAACGCAAGUUGCGCCCGAGGCCAGCUGGCUAAGGGCACGUCCGCCUGGGCGUCAAGCAUUGAAUCGCUCU
rnacentral:rRNA from 1 species